CUACUGAUAAAAUAUUUGUAACACUGCCAACAGAAAACGUAUAUAUUUUUUCCUCGUUAUUGUUGUGUGAUGUGAUGUGCAAUUGGCCUUCAUUAUUGGUUGACGUUGGAACAUUGCCUUAAUGCUAGAGUUGAUAAGCAACUGUGAAAAUUACGAGGUGUCUCCGGAUACUACCUUUUUCUGUAUCCAAAUAUGUACUGGGCUAUCAAUCUUCCAAAUGCAACGAGACAUAUUAAUGCAUCUAAAUAUUUGAUGCCACAGAGAGAAAAGAAAUAAAUCAAAUGUAGCGUCAAAAGUAGUACCAGCAGCUAAGGAAAUGGAGAAUCGGUAAACUUGGGAGAUGAGAUUGCAAUGGUAAGUGACUAAUGGGUAUGCUCUCCACUUUGUUAAGAAGCAUAAUAUUAUAACUGGAAAAUAUGAUUGGCGUUGAGCGUUCAAUUUAUGAUUCAGGAGAUUAGUGUGUCGGAGGCCCAUUAAAAAGCCCAAUAAACUUUGAUCUUCUUAACGGCCAUCGGUGGGUAUUAGGUGCUUUUUGCUUUUCCGUUUACAAUCCAUCGCCUAGCCGGUACCAAGCGUGCAUCAUUUUACGGUUGCCCUAAUUUCGGAUUCAGACUUUUACCCUCUAAAUUCAAAGUUAGCUCCUGUUUUUGAGAAUUUCUUUGCAAUCAACCGAUGAAUAUGUGUAAGAACAAUGUCAGCACCUGAGCGUUUUUUUUUUUUUUUUUUU
rnacentral:misc_RNA from 1 species